AUUGAACGCUGGCGGCAUGCCUUACACAUGCAAGUCGAACGGCAGCGGGGGAGAAGCUUGCUUUUCCUGCCGGCGAGUGGCGAACGGGUGAGUAAUACAUCGGAACGUGCCCUGUAGUGGGGGAUAACUAGUCGAAAGAUUAGCUAAUACCGCAUACGACCUGAGGGUGAAAGUGGGGGACCGCAAGGCCUCAUGCUAUAGGAGCGGCCGGUUUCUGAUUAGCUAGUUGGGGGGGUAAAGGGCGACCAAGGCGACGAUCAGUAGCUGGUCUGAGAGGACGAUCAGCCAGACUGGGACUGAGACACGGCCCAGACUGCUAGGGGAGGCAGCAGUGGGGAAUUUUGGACAAUGGGCGAAAGCCUGAUCCAGCAAUGCCGCGUGUGUGAAGAAGGCCUUCGGGUUGUAAAGCACUUUUGGCCGUAAAGAAAUGGCUCUGGUUAAUACCGGGGGUCGAUGACGGUACCGGAAGAAUAAGGACCGGCUAACUACGUGCCAGCCGCCGCCGUAA
rnacentral:rRNA from 1 species